rnacentral:rRNA from 1 species
UGAGUGAAGAAGGCCUUCGGGUUGUAAAGCUCUUUUGUCAGGGAAGAAACGGCUCCGGCUAAUAUCUGGGGCUAAUGACGGUACCUGAAGAAUAAGCACCGGCUAACUACGUGCCAGCAGCCGCGGUGAUACGUAGGGUGCAAGCGUUAAUCGGAAUUACUGGGCGUAAAGCGUGCGCAGGCGGUUUUGUAAGUCUGUCGUGAAAGCCCCGGGCUUAACCUGGGAAUUGCGAUGGAGACUGCAAGGCUUGAAUCUGGCAGAGGGGGGUAGAAUUCCACGUGUAGCAGUGAAAUGCGUAGAGAUGUGGAGGAACACCGAUGGCGAAGGCAGCCCCCUGGGUCAAGAUUGACGCUCAUGCACGAAAGCGUGGGGAGCAAACAGGAUUAGAUACCCUGGUAGUCCACGCCCUAAACGA